UACAGAGGGGGCAAGCGUUGUUCGGAAUUACUGGGCGUAAAGGGCGCGUAGGCGGCCUGUUAAGUCGAACGUGAAAUCCCCGGGCUCAACCCGGGAACUGCGUCCGGUACUGGCAGGCUUGAAUCCGGGAGAGGGAUGCGGAAUUCCAGGUGUAGCGGUGAAAUGCGUAGAUAUCUGGAGGAACACCGGUGGCGAAGGCGGCAUCCUGGACCGGUAUUGACGCUGAGGCGCGAAAGCCAGGGGAGCAAACGGG
rnacentral:rRNA from 1 species